GCCUUAUCCAGAGCGGCCGAGGGAACAGGCCCCACGACGCCGCAGCAACCAGGAGACCCUUGACGACGAGCCUUUUUCACCGCCAGACACAAGCCCCUCGGCCGGGUUACCCCUGCUGUUGUUGAACAGGUCUUGUGCGGUCGGGACUCCGCGGUGCUCUCUGCCUGCCCGAAACAGACGGGAACGAUAGGAC
rnacentral:ncRNA from 1 species